rnacentral:tRNA from 1 species
GCCGAAGUGGCGAAAUGGUAGACGCGCAGCGUUCAGGGCGCUGUGAGCGCAAGCUCAUGAGAGUUCAAAUCUCUCCUUCGGCA